rnacentral:rRNA from 1 species
GCUUCGGGUUGUAAACCUCUUUGGCAGGGAAGAAGCGAAAGUGACGGUACCUGCAGAAAAAGCACCGGGCUAACUACGUGCCAGCAGCCGCGGUAAUACGUAGGGUGCGAGCGUUGUCCGGAAUUAUUGGGCGUAAAGAGCUCGUAGGCGGUUCGUCGCGUCUGCUGUGAAAUCCCGAGGCUCAACCUCGGGCCUGCAGUGGGUACGGGCGAACUAGAGUGCAGUAGGGGAGACUGGAAUUCCUGGUGUAGCGGUGGAAUGCGCAGAUAUCAGGAGGAACACCGAUGGCGAAGGCAGGUCUCUGGGCUGUAACUGACGCUGAGGAGCGAAAGCGUGGGGAGCGAACAGGAUUAGAUACCCUGGUAGUCCACGCCGUAAACGUUGGGCGCUAGAUGUGGGGACCAUUCCACGGUUUCCGUGUCGCAGCUAACGCAUUAAGCGCCCCGCCUGGGGAGUACGGCCGCAAGGCUAAAACUCAAAGGAAUUGACGGGGGCCCGCACAAGCGGCGGAGCAUGCGGAUUAAUUCGAUGCAACGCGAAGAACCUUACCAAGGCUUGACAUAUACGAGAACGGGCCAGAAAUGGUCAACUCUUUGGACACUCGUAUACAGGUGGUGCAUGGUUGUCGUCAGCUCGUGUCGUGAGAUGUUGGGUUAAGUCCCGCAACGAGCGCAACCCUCGUUCUAUGUUGCCAGCACGUAAUGGUGGGAACUCAUAGGAGACUGCCGGGGUCAACUCGGAGGAAGGUGGGGAUGACGUCAAAUCAUCAUGCCCCUUAUGUCUUGGGCUUCACGCAUGCUACAAUGGCCGGUACAAUGGGCUGCAAUACCGUGAGGUGGAGCGAAUCCCAAAAAGCCGGUCUCAGUUCGGAUUGAGGUCUGCAACUCGACCUCAUGAAGUCGGAGUCGCUAGUAAUCGCGAAUCAGCAACGUCGCGGUGAAUACGUUCCCGGGCCUUGUACACACCGCCCGUCAAGUCAUGAAAGUCGGUAACACCCGAAUCCGGUGGCCCAACCCUCGGGAAGUAGCCGC